AGAGUUUGAUCAUGGCUCAGAUUGAACGCUGGCGGCAUGCCUUACACAUGCAAGUCGAACGGUAACGGGCCUUCGGGUGCCGACGAGUGGCGAACGGGUGAGUAAUGCAUCGGAACGUACCUUUCAGUGGGGGAUAACGUAGCGAAAGUUACGCUAAUACCGCAUAUUCUGUGAGCAGGAAAGCAGGGGAUCGCAAGACCUUGCGCUGAUUGAGCGGCCGAUGUCAGAUUAGCUAGUUGGUGAGGUAAAGGCUCACCAAGGCGACGAUCUGUAGCGGGUCUGAGAGGAUGAUCCGCCACACUGGAACUGAGACACGGUCCAGACUCCUACGGGAGGCAGCAGUGGGGAAUUUUGGACAAUGGGGGCAACCCUGAUCCAGCCAUGCCGCGUGAGUGAAGAAGGCCUUCGGGUUGUAAAGCUCUUUCGGCCGGGAAGAAAUCGCAUGGGUUAAUACCCUGUGCGGACGACGGUACCGGCAUAAGAAGCACCGGCUAACUACGUG
rnacentral:rRNA from 1 species